UCCUGGCUCAGGAUGAACGCUGGCGGCGUGCUUAACACAUGCAAGUCGAACGGUGAAGCCAAGCUUGCUUGGUGGAUCAGUGGCGAACGGGUGAGUAACACGUGAGCAACCUGCCCUGGACUCUGGGAUAAGCGCUGGAAACGGUGUCUAAUACUGGAUAUGAGCUUUCACCGCAUGGUGGGGGUUGGAAAGAUUUUUCGGUCUGGGAUGGGCUCGCGGCCUAUCAGCUUGUUGGUGAGGUAAUGGCUCACCAAGGCGUCGACGGGUAGCCGGCCUGAGAGGGUGACCGGCCACACUGGGACUGAGACACGGCCCAGACUCCUACGGGAGGCAGCAGUGGGGAAUAUUGCACAAUGGGCGGAAGCCUGAUGCAGCAACGCCGCGUGAGGGAUGACGGCCUUCGGGUUGUAAACCUCUUUUAGCAGGGAAGAAGCGUGAGUGACGGUACCUGCAGAAAAAGCGCCGGCUAACUACGUGCCAGCAGCCGCGGUAAUACGUAGGGCGCAAGCGUUAUCCGGAAUUAUUGGGCGUAAAGAGCUCGUAGGCGGUUUGUCGCGUCUGCUGUGAAAUCCCGAGGCUCAACCUCGGGCCUGCAGUGGGUACGGGCAGACUAGAGUGCGGUAGGGGAGAUUGGAAUUCCUGGUGUAGCGGUGGAAUGCGCAGAUAUCAGGAGGAACACCGAUGGCGAAGGCAGAUCUCUGGGCCGUAACUGACGCUGAGGAGCGAAAGGGUGGGGAGCAAACAGGCUUAGAUACCCUGGUAGUCCACCCCGU
rnacentral:rRNA from 2 species